CAAUUGGUGGUUCUGUAGUAGAAUUCUCACCUCCCAUGUGGAAGACCUGGGUUUGAUUCCCAGCCAAUAGA
rnacentral:tRNA from 1 species